rnacentral:lncRNA from 1 species
AAGAGGGUCUGGAGGCCAGGAAAAUGUCAAUGGAAAGCAGCUAGCAUGAAGACCCCACAGUGUUCCUCCCUCUAGUAGUCUGGUAUUAUUUGGAGCUGAGAUGCUCCCAAUAUGGUUGGGACAUUUGUCCCCUCCAAAUCUCAUGUGAGAAUUUGAUCCCCCGCUUUGGGGAUGGGGUCUAAUGGGAGGAGUUUGGGUCAUGAUGGGGGACCCCUCAUGAAUGGCUUUGUGCCCUGCUCACCAGGAAUGAAUGAGCUCUCACUCUACUAGUUCACUGGAGAGCUGGUUGUUUAAAGAGCCUGGCAUCUCCCCCACUUUCUCUCUUGCUCCCCCUUCUCACUGUGUGAUAUACCUGCUCCCCUUUGCCAUCCAUCAUGAGUGGAAGCUUCUUGAAGCCUCCACCUAAAGCAGAUGCCGACACUAUGCUUCCUGCACAGCCUGCCAU